rnacentral:rRNA from 1 species
CCUACGGGUGGCAGCAGUCGAGAAUCAUUCACAAUGGGGGAAACCCUGAUGGUGCGACGCCGCGUGGGGGAAUGAAGGUCUUCGGAUUGUAAACCCCUGUCAUGUGGGAGCAAAUUAAAAAGAUCGUACCACACGAGGAAGAGACGGCUAACUCUGUGCCAGCAGCCGCGGUAAUACAGAGGUCUCAAGCGUUGUUCGGAAUCACUGGGCGUAAAGCGUGCGUAGGCUGUUUCGUAAGUCGUGUGUGAAAGGCGCGGGCUCAACCCGCGGACGGCACAUGAUACUGCGAGACUAGAGUAAUGGAGGGGGAGGCGGAAUUCUCGGUGUAGCAGUGAAAUGCGUAGAUAUCGAGAGGAACACUCAUGGCGAAGGCGGGUUACUGGGCAUUAACUGACGCUGAGGCACGAAGGCCAGGGGAGCGAAAGGGAUUAGAUACCCGUGUAGUC